rnacentral:lncRNA from 1 species
UUUUGUUGCUUCAUUUUCUUUUUAUAUUUCUGAUCUGAUUCUCUUCUUCUCUCUCGUCUUUCUGCCUCAUUAGCUGCUCUGGGACGUCGAGUUCUUUUUUGUUGUGAACCUUGAGAUGAGUAUCCGUGAUUCAAUUGAGGUUGGCUUGUUGGUUGAGGAUGCACCAAGCUGUUACUCUGCACUGAGUUCGUUAGAUCUGUUUGAUUCUGACCUGGUACACUUGAUUGAAAUUGCCCAGUAUGCUGAGAGUUCGAGUGAUGAAUCAGAGUCUGGUACUGACGUGUUUCAUUCAAUUGAGGUUGGCUUGUUGGUUGAGGAUGCACCAAGCUGUCACUCGGCACUGAGUUCGUUAGAUCUGUUUGACUCUGACCUGCUCCAUUCGAUUGAAAUUGCCCAGUAUGCUGAGAGUUUGAGUGAUGAAUCAGAGUCUGGUUCUGACGUG